UAUGAAGGGGGCUAGCGUUGCUCGGAAUCACUGGGCGUAAAGCGCACGUAGGCGGCUUUCUAAGUCAGGGGUGAAAUCCUGGAGCUCAACUCCAGAACUGCCUUUGAUACUGGAGAGCUAGAGUCCGGAAGAGGUGAGUGGAACUGCGAGUGUAGAGGUGAAAUUCGUAGAUAUCGGGAAGAACACCCGUGGCGAAGGCGGCUCUCUGGGACGGUACUGACGCUGAGACGCGAAAGCGUGGGGAGCGAACAGG
rnacentral:rRNA from 1 species